CCACCUUUGACAUGUACGGAAUCCUUUAGAGAUAGAGGAGUGCUCGAAAGAGAGCCGUAACACAGGUGCUGCAUGGCUGUCGUCAGCUCGUGUCGUGAGAUGUUGGGUUAAGUCCCGCAACGAGCGCAACCCUUGCCAUUAGUUGCUACGAAAGGGCACUCUAAUGGGACUGCCGGUGACAAACCGGAGGAAGGUGGGGAUGACGUCAAGUCCUCAUGGCCCUUAUAGGUGGGGCUACACACGUCAUACAAUGGCUGGUACAGAGGGUUGCCAACCCGCGAGGGGGAGCUAAUCCCAUAAAGCCAGUCGUAGUCCGGAUCGCAGUCUGCAACUCGACUGCGUGAAGUCGGAAUCGCUAGUAAUCGCGGAUCAGAAUGUCGCGGUGAAUACGUUCC
rnacentral:rRNA from 1 species